UGCUCUGCCAAAGCUGAGUUCUCCUGCUUC
rnacentral:piRNA from 2 species